rnacentral:rRNA from 1 species
AGAGUUUGAUCCUGGCUCAGAUUGAACGCUGGCGGAAUGCUUUACACAUGCAAGUCGAGCGGCAGCGCGGGGGCAACCCUGGCGGCGAGCGGCGAACGGGUGAGUAAUAUAUCGGAACGUACCCCGUCGUGGGGGGAUAACACAGCGAAAGCUGUGCUAAUACCGCAUACGACCUGAGGGUGAAAGCGGGGGAUCGCAAGACCUCGCGCGAUGGGAGCGGCCGAUAUCGGAUUAGCUUGUUGGUGAGGUAAAGGCUCACCAAGGCGACGAUCCGUAGCUGGUCUGAGAGGACGACCAGCCACACUGGAACUGAGACACGGUCCAGACUCCUACGGGAGGCAGCAGUGGGGAAUUUUGGACAAUGGGGGCAACCCUGAUCCAGCCAUUCCGCGUGAGUGAAGAAGGCCUUCGGGUUGUAAAGCUCUUUCAGCAGGAACGAAACGGUGGCCACUAAUACUGGCUACUAAUGACGGUACCUGAAGAAGAAGCACCGGCUAACUACGUG